UCUCGGCUCCGAACCCAGCGUACCCGCCCUACCAUGAGACGAUCACCUACUCGUCUCCCACACUUUGGCCAUUAGAUGGCCUGCAUCAACCUGUGCCGGGUGUAAUGUCAACUCUCCCCGUCAUUGAAAAUUCAGCCGGGCAUUUCUCUCUUCAGCUCCGGAUAUCUCCAAGCUUCUAUUUAUAAAUUCGUACACGUGAAAAUUUCGAGCAUUUUAAGCGGAGUAUCGCAUCACUUCAGGCAAACGGACACUUCCUCAACUUGCCUUCAACAGGUGCCUAUGACGUAUUGCAUAAUUUCAUAUUUAAGACAAUUUAUAUUAAUCUUGAAAAUAUUAAACUUAGCACAGAAUGUAUUGUUUUAUAACCUUUAUACGGAACAGGAGACGAAAAGAAAGAAAGAAAAACAAGGUGAGACAUAUUAAUACAGGUAAUUAUUGCACCAAUGGGGAGCAAGUACCCGCUAAAAUAAAUGCCUGUAUACAUAUGUGUUUCCAACGAAACGCGUUAUGUUC